rnacentral:tRNA from 1 species
GCCUUCGUAGUUUAACGGUAGCACACUCGGCCCGUAUUCGAGAGGUCCAGGUUCGAGUCCCGGCCAGGGCA